UACGUAAGGGGCUAGCGUUGUCCGGAAUCAUUGGGCGUAAAGCGCGUGUAGGCGGCCCGGUAAGUCCGCUGUGAAAGUCGGGGGCUCAACCCUCGAAAGCCGGUGGAUACUGUCGGGCUAGAGUCCGGAAGAGGCGAGUGGAACUCCUGGUGUAGCGGUGGAAUGCGCAGAUAUCAGGAAGAACACCAACGGCGAAGGCAGCUCGCUGGGACGGAACUGACGCUGAGGCGCGAAAGCGUGGGGAGCGAACAGG
rnacentral:rRNA from 1 species